AUACAGAGGGUGCGAGCGUUAAUCGGAAUUACUGGGCGUAAAGCGCGCGUAGGCGGCUUGGUCAGUCGGAUGUGAAAGCCCUGGGCUUAACCUGGGAACUGCAUUUGAAACUGGGAGGCUAGAGUUUGGUAGAGGGGAGUGGAAUUUCCGGUGUAGCGGUGAAAUGCGUAGAGAUCGGAAGGAACACCAGUGGCGAAGGCGACUCUCUGGACCAAAACUGACGCUGAGGUGCGAAAGCGUGGGUAGCAAACAGGAUUAGAAACCCCGGUAGUCC
rnacentral:rRNA from 1 species